rnacentral:rRNA from 1 species
UACAGAGGGGGCAAGCGUUAUUCGGAAUUAUUGGGCGUAAAGGGCGCGUAGGCGGCUUUGCAAGUGACGGGGUGAAAGCCCUCGGCUUAACCGAGGAACUGCCUGUCAGACUGUGAGGCUUGAGACCGGGAGAGGUGAGUGGAAUUCCCAGUGUAGCGGUGAAAUGCGUAGAUAUUGGGAGGAACACCAGUGGCGAAGGCGGCUCACUGGACCGGAACUGACGCUGAGGCGCGAAAGCGUGGGGAGCAAACAGG